UGAUUUAUGUUCUACAAGGGACAAUAUUUCCCAAUAUUCAUGCAAUAAUUUUGAAGAUUUAUUGCCCUGGGUCAGUGAAAUAUUAGAAUUUAUUGCACGCUAACUAUUGGUUACUUUCUGUUGGAAAUAUUAUAUUUCUAUGCAAUAAUUCUCCUUAGUGCUUAACUUCAAUGUUGACAAGUUUUCUAAUUUCUUGAUACAGGUCUGAAUUUGGAUUGUAAAUAAAUAUUUGACAUAUUAUAGGUUUCUGAAUAAAUGUAGUCAAAGAACUUGAAAUUGGUUACACAGCUACUUUUGCAUUGCUUGUUACCAAAUGAAAGGAAAGGAUGUAUGUCAUGUAGGUGUAAAAGUCCUGCAAAACAGAACUGAUAUCAAAAUACUAUCCACAGUGAAUAUGGUGAAGAAUAACCAAUACAUGUACCAUGAAUACAGGACAUGGAAGACCUCACAAACUUGGGAGUUUUACAAAAAAUAGAACAUUUAAAUUUACAAAGAAGACAUUUAUUUUGACAUUCAUAGACUUGGAAAGUAAAGAAAUUAGAAUGUGAAUAAAAAUCCUUGGAAAUAAAAUUUUGAACUUUGAAGAA